GAUGAACGCUAGCUACAGGCUUAACACAUGCAAGUCGAGGGGUAACAAGGGGAAAGCUUGCUUUCCUUGUUGACGACCGGCGCACGGGUGAGUAACGCGUAUCCAACCUGCCUAUAACUAGGGAAUAACCUUGCGAAAGUAAGACUAAUACCCUAUGAUUUCCUUUGAGGACAUCAGAUUAGGAAUAAAGAUUUAUCGGUUAUAGAUGGGGAUGCGUAUGAGUAGCUGGUUGGCGGGGUAACGGCCCACCAAGGCAACGAUCAGUAGGGGUUCUGAGAGGAAGGUCCCCCACAUUGGAACUGAGACACGGUCCAAACUCCUACGGGAGGCAGCAGUGAGGAAUAUUGGUCAAUGGGCGGAAGCCUGAACCAGCCAAGUAGCGUGCAGGAUGACGGCCCUAUGGGUUGUAAACUGCUUUUAUACAGGAAUAAAGUUAGCCACGUGUGGUUAUUUGUAGGUACUGUAUGAAUAAGGACCGGCUAAUUCCGUGCCAGCCGCCGCCGUAA
rnacentral:rRNA from 1 species